rnacentral:rRNA from 1 species
GAUGAACGCUAGCGGCAGGCUUCAUACAUGCAAGUCGAGGGACAGCACAGGUAGCAAUACUGGGUGGUAACCGGCAAACGGGUGCGGAACACGUACACAACCUUCCUCUAAGUCGGCGAUAGCCCAGAGAAAUUUGGACUACUACCCCGUCAUAUAGUUGAAUGGCAUCAUUUGAUUAUUAUAGCUACGCCGCCUAAUGAUGGGUUUGCGGCUGAUUAGAUAGUUGGCGGGGUAACGGCCCACCAAGUCUACGAUCAGUAGCUGAUGUGAGAGCAUGAUCAGCCACACGGGCACUGAGACACGGGCCCGACUCCUACGGGAGGCAGCAGUAAGGAAUAUUGGUCAAUGGACGCAAGUCUGAACCAGCCAUGCCGCGUGAAGGAUUAAGGUCCUCUGGAUUGUAAACUUCUUUUAUUUGGGACGAAAAAGGGCCCUUCUAGGUCAACUGACGGUACCAGAUGAAUAAGCACCGGCUAACUCCGUGCCAGCCGCCGCCGUAACAC